GUAUGUGGAACAUAUUUUUCUUUAUUUUCUUUUUUAAUAUAUUAUUUUUCCUCCUCUCAACUUGUGCUGUGUAUUUUUAUCUUGUUGAACGAUUGUAACAUUAGUGUUAACUGUGUGAUUUAAAUAGAAAAGUGGGAUGUAACGGUAUUGUACUCUGUUAUUCAAACACAACACCCUCCUACCCACCCCCUUCGCUCUAUCGAAGUUUUCCUAUGAUGAUGAUAAAGUGUAUCUGAUGGGGUGCUUUAUAUGUGGGUAAUGUGGAACGAAUGGGGGCGUGGUAGGCAUGUCAAAUGUCAUAGAAAUUACAUGAUGUCACUUUUGUACAUUUGAAACACUUUUAGUUUUGCGUGUUGAGGUGCAUUUAGCUGAUGUUGCAUACUAAUUUCCUGCUGCACAUCAUCAUAUUUUUGUAGCAUCGUCGUCGCGUAGUCGCUCGUCUAUAUGAUUUUCUAAUUUUGCUUUUAUUUUUAAGUUAUCCUUAUGUAAAUUAAAAUUCAUUUUGACAUUUAAAUUUAACAACCAGUUUACUGGAUGUUUUUAUAUACUUAUCUAUGAUAUUUGCGUAUUGAGUGUUGCAGAGAAUGGCACGGAACGAUGCUAGGGUGGCGGUCGGCGGAGCGGCGGUAGCACGGUUAUGACGCAUACGUACGUGAUGUAGAUAAAGUUGACGAUAAAUUUGCAUGUGACAUUAAUGUGACAUCCUUUCAGCCAGAUUAUGAUUGAAAUUCAAAUGUGUUAUCAUUUUGCAAAAUAAAACUGAUUCAUAAAAAAUUCA